AGCAGCCGCGGUAAUUCCAGCUCCAAUAGCGUAUAUUAAAGUUGUUGCAGUUAAAAAGCUCGUAGUUGAAUUUCGGGGUUCUACCGUUGGUCGGGCAAUAGUCUGUACUGGCGUGUAGAAUUUCUACCUUCUGGGGAACCAUCAUGUUAUUUAUUUAGCGUGGUGGGAAACCAGGACCUUUACCUUGAAAAAAUUAGAGUGUUCAAAGCAGGCUUACGUCUGAAUACAUUAGCAUGGAAUAAUAAAAUAGGACGGUGGUCCUGUUUUGUUGGUUUCUGAAUCACCGUAAUGAUUAAUAGGGAUAGUUGGGGGCAUUAGUAUUCAAUUGUCAGAGGUGAAAUUCUUGGAUUUAUUGAAGACUAACUUCUGCGAAAGCAUUUGCCAAGGAUGUUUUCAUUAAUCAAGAACGAAAGUUAGGGGAUCGAAGACGAUCAGAUACCGUCGUAGUCUUAACCAUAAACUAUGCCGACUAGGGAUCGGA
rnacentral:sRNA from 1 species